rnacentral:rRNA from 1 species
CUACGGGAUGCUGCAGUGAGGAAUAUUGCGCAAUGGGGGAAACCCUGACGCAGCAACGCCGUGUGAGUGAUGAAGGCCCUCGGGUCGUAAAGCUCUGUUGGGAGGGAAGAACAGGUCGUGACGAAUAAUCACGAUUCUUGACGGUACCUCCAGAGGAAGCACCGGCCAACUCCGUGCCAGCAGCCGCGGUAAUACGGAGGGUGCAAGCGUUGUUCGGAAUUACUGGGCGUAAAGAGCGUGUAGGCGGCCAACCAAGUCAGAUGUGAAAUCCCUGGGCUUAACCCAGGAACUGCAUCUGAAACUGGCUGGCUAGAGUACGGGAGAGGAAGGUGGAAUUCCUGGUGUAGAGGUGAAAUUCGUAGAUAUCGGGAAGAACACCGGUGGCGAAGGCGGCCUUCUGGCCCGAUACUGACGCUGAGACGCGAAAGCGUGGGGAGCAAACAGGAUUAGAUACCCUCGUAGUC